AUUGAACGCUGGCGGCAGGCUUAACACAUGCAAGUCGAGCGGAGAGAGGUAGCUUGCUACCGAUCUUAGCGGCGGACGGGUGAGUAAUGCUUAGGAAUCUGCCUAUUAGUGGGGGACAACAUUUCGAAAGGAAUGCUAAUACCGCAUACGUCCUACGGGAGAAAGCAGGGGAUCUUCGGACCUUGCGCUAAUAGAUGAGCCUAAGUCGGAUUAGCUAGUUGGUGGGGUAAAGGCCUACCAAGGCGACGAUCUGUAGCGGGUCUGCGAGGAUGAUCCGCCACACUGGGACGGAGACACGGCGCAGACGCCUACGGGAGGCAGCAGUGGGGAAUAUUGGACAAUGGGCGGAAGCCUGAUCCAGCCAUGCCGCGUGUGUGAAGAAGGCCUUAUGGUUGUAAAGCACUUUAAGCGAGGAGGAGGCUACUUUAGUUAAUACCUAGAGAUAGUGGACGUUACUCGCAGAAUAAGCACCGGCUAACUCUGUGCCAGCAGCCGCGGUAACAC
rnacentral:rRNA from 1 species